UGGGGAAUAUUGCACAAUGGAGGGAACUCUGAUGCAGCAACGCCGCGUGCGGGAUGACGGCCUUCGGGUUGUAAACCGCUAUCAGCCAUGACGAAGCUUUUGUGACGGUAGAGGUAGAAGAAGCACCGGCUAACUACGUGCCAGCAGCCGCGGUGAUACGUAGGGUGCGAGCGUUGUCCGGAAUUAUUGGGCGUAAAGAGCUUGUAGGCGGUUUGUCGCGUCGAUAGUGUAAACACGCAGCUUAACUGUGUGCCUGCUGUCGAUACGGGCUGACUAGAGGAGGGUAGGGGAGAAUGGAAUUCCCGGUGGAGCGGUGGAAUGCGCAGAUAUCGGGAGGAACACCAGUGGCGAAGGCGGUUCUCUGGACCUUUCCUGACGCUGAGAAGCGAAAGCGUGGGUAGCAAACAGG
rnacentral:rRNA from 1 species